rnacentral:tRNA from 2 species
ACCAGGAUGGCCGAAUGGUUAAGGCGUUGGACUUAAGUUCAAAUGUACGAAUUGUACGCGUGGGUUCGAACCCCACUCCUGGUA